rnacentral:rRNA from 1 species
GAUGAACGUUGGCGGCGUGCCUAACACAUGCAAGUCGAACGAAAGUAGCAAUACUUUAGUGGCGCACGGGUGAGUAACACGUAGCUUACCUCCCUCUCAGCGCGGGAUAACGACUCGAAAGAGUUGCUAAUACCGCAUAAGCUCACGGGUUCUAGAGACUUGUGAGAAAAGGUGCAAAUCACUGAGAGACGGGGCUGCGGCCCAUCAGCUAGUUGGCGCGGUAAAGGCGCACCAA